GCUAAUACAUGCAAAUAGAGUUCCGACCAGAGAUGGAAGGAAUGCUUUUAUUAGAUCAAAACCAAUCGGUGGCGGGAUUUCCUUGCUCACCGUUUGACUUGGUGACUCUGAAUAACUUUGUGCUGAUCGCACGGUCUCGAACCGGCGACGCAUCUUUCAAAUGUCUGCCUUAUCAACUGUCGAUGGUAGUUUCUGCGACUACCAUGGUUGUUACGGGUAACGGGGAAUCAGGGUUCGAUUCCGGAGAGGGAGCCUGAGAAACGGCUACCACAUCCAAGGAAGGCAGCAGGCGCGCAAAUUACCCACUCCCGGCACGGGGAGGUAGUGACGAAAAAUAACGAUACGGGACUCAUCCGAGGCCCCGUAAUCGGAAUGAGUACACUUUAAAUCCUUUAACGAGGACCCAUUGGAGGGCAAGUCUGGUGCCAGCAGCCGCGGUAACUCCAGCUCCAAUAGCGUAUAUUAAAGUUGUUGCGGUUAAAAAGCUCGUAGUUGAAUCUGUGUCCCACACUGUCGGUUCACCGCUCGCGGUGUUCAACUGGCAUGUCUGUGGGACGUCCUACCGGUGGGCUUAGCCCGUCAAAAGGCGGCCCAACUAACAAUCCUGCCACGGUGCUCUUCACCGAGUGUCGAGGUGGGCCGGUACGUUUACUUUGAACAAAUUAGAGUGCUUAAAGCAGGCUCAUUCGCCUGAAUAUUCUGUGCAUGGAAUAAUGGAAUAGGACCUCGGUUCUAUUUUGUUGGUUUUCGGAACUCCGAGGUAAUGAUUAAUUGGGACAACUGGGGGCAUUCGUAUUGCGACGUUAGAGGUGAAAUUCUUGGAUCGUCGCAAGACGGACAGAAGCGAAAGCAUUUGCCAAAUGUGUUUUCAUCAAUCAAGAACGAAAGUUAGAGGUUCGAAGGCGAUCAGAUACCGCCCUAGUUCUAACCAUAAACGAUGCCAGCUAGCGAUCCGCCGAAGUUCCUCCGAUGACUCGGCGGGCAGCUUCCGGGAAACCAAAGCUUUUGGGUUCCGGGGGAAGUAUGGUUGCAAAGCUGAAACUUAAAGGAAUUGACGGAAGGGCACCACCAGGAGUGGAGCCUGCGGCUUAAUUUGACUCAACACGGAAACCUCAC
rnacentral:rRNA from 1 species